UGAGGAACAUGACCUUCGGCGGGGGAUAGCCGGCCCAACGGCCGGGUAAUACCGCGUACGACCACAUGGGGACAUCCCCGAGUGGUGAAAGCAGCAAUGCGCCGAUGGAGUGCCUCGCGGCCUAUCAGCUAGUUGGUGAGGUAAUGGCUCACCAAGGCAACGACGGGUAGCUGGUCUGAGAGGAUGGCCAGCCACAUUGGGACUGAGACACGGCCCAGACUUNUACGGGAGG
rnacentral:rRNA from 1 species